rnacentral:rRNA from 1 species
GCCUUUGCCGCCCGGUCCGCCUAUUUGGGUGUGUACUGGAGCGGUGGAGGCUUACCUCGUGGUGAACAAUCAUGCCCUUCACUGGGUGUGGUUGGGAACCAUGAUUUUUACUUUGAAAAAAUUAGAGUGUUCAAAGCAGGCUUACGCCCGAAUACAUUAGCAUGGAAUAAUAAAAUAGGA